GUCUACGGCCAUGCCACCCUGAACAAGCCCAAUCCCGUCUGAUCUCGGAAGCUAAGCAGAGUCGGCGCUGGUUAGUACUUGGAUGGGAGACCACCUAGGAAGACCAGGUGCUGUAGGCG
rnacentral:rRNA from 1 species